GAUGAACGCUGGCGGCGUGCUUAACACAUGCAAGUCGAACGGGAUCCCAGGGGUGCUUGCACUUUUUGGUGAGAGUGGCGAACGGGUGAGUAACACGUGAGUAACCUGUCCUUUUCUUUGGGAUAAGCAUUCGAAAGGGUGUUUAAUACCUUAUGUUCUGUCUGCCUCGCAUGGGGUGGGUGGGAAAGGCUUUGGCCGGAUUUGGGUGGGCUCGCGGUCUAUCAGCUUGUUGGUGGGGUGAUGGCUUACCAAGGCUUUGACGGGUAGCCGGCCUGAGAGGGUGGGCGGUCACAUUGGGACUGAGAUACGGCCCAGACUCCUGCGGGAGGCAGCAGUGGGGGAUAUUGCACAAUGGGCGAAAGCCUGAUGCAGCGACGCCGCGUGGGGGAUGAAGGCCUUCGGGGUGUAAACUUCUGUUGCUCUGAACAAGGCAUGCCAGUGGGUGUGUUGAGUGUAGGGGUUGAUUAGCGCCGGCUAACUACGUG
rnacentral:rRNA from 1 species